UACGCAGGGUCAACUGCAAAAAUCUUUUACGAAGUACAUUCUUAUGGACCAUGAAUCUUUUCGAUAAAUCUUGAAACUCAAAAACACGUGGCGGAAAAAUAAUAAUAAUAAUAAACAGAACAAUUUCAAUAGGACUUUCCACAGAAAGGUGGAAAGACCUAAUAAAAACACUAGUAGACUAAUUGUUCACAGAACAAUUAGAGGUCUUUCCACCUUUUUAAGUGUUUCCAUGUAAUUUGGGCUGUAAAAAAAGAAGAAAA